UGGGUGAUGCCACACUGGGGACCCUGGCAGUCUUAGUGCUGCUGUGUGUCGGGUUCAACACAGCCAGCCUGCUCUGGCUGCACCUCAGACCCCUUGUCCAGGAUCUGCUCUGCCUCCUCAUCCCCAAAGUGGGCGUUUGGAUGGGACCAGCUGCCGCCCGGGCCAGGCCUGGCUGCCUUCCAGCAGUGCCAGAGGUCUGGGGGGCCCCCAGCACCUCGGAGGCCAACCAAAGACCCCGAAAGAGGAUCCAUCGAAGCUCUCCCCACACCCUAGCCAGUGGCCCCUUGGGCACA